CUACGGGUGGCUGCAGUCGAGAAUCUUCGGCAAUGGGCGCAAGCCUGACCGAGCGACGCCGCGUGCGGGAUGAAUGCCUUCGGGUUGUAAACCGCUGUCGGAGGGGAGGAAAUGCCAUGGGGUACUCUCCAUGGUUUGACCUAUCCUCGGAGGAAGUACGGGCUAAGUUCGUGCCAGCAGCCGCGGUAAGACGAACCGUACGAACGUUAUUCGGAAUUAUUGGGCUUAAAGGGUGCGUAGGCGGCCCGGCAAGUUGGGUGUGAAACCCCUCGGCUCAACCGAGGAACUGCGCCCAAAACUGCCGGACUUGAGGGAGACAGAGGUGAGCGGAACUUAGGGUGGAGCGGUGAAAUGCGUUGAUAUCCUAAGGAACACCGGUGGCGAAGGCGGCUCACUGGGUCUCUUCUGACGCUGAGGCACGAAAGCUAGGGGAGCGAACGGGAUUAGAUACCCGAGUAGUC
rnacentral:rRNA from 1 species